rnacentral:lncRNA from 1 species
GGCGGCAGAUUAUAGCUAUAUAGUUAUUAGCUAUACCUAUAUGUGCUUCGUAUACCUCACGAGUGGGUAUUUUGCGGUCUGCUUCUGCCAACAACGUUGGUCUUUUUUUCGGAGCUGCAACGCUUGUUUUUGUUUUGAUAAAGCCCGUGCAUUGACACGUCUUUGCGGGGUUGACUGUUACUACUUAAGUUAGAAUCUGUGCGAAUCCGGGAAUUUUCGGAGCAGAUGAGCUUGUACGAAACUCGUCUAUCCUUUUAACUGCUGCACAAUUUAAAAGCGAGUGUGAGACAAUUUCACGUAACUAUACUCGGUAUAUAUAGAACGUUGUAUAAUAAUUCGUUCGCGGAAUCGUCAGCUGUGUUGGUGCGAGAUUUUGAAAGAGACUCUCUGCUUAUGUAUAUUAUUUACGUCGCACGUGCGGAGACCGUUAUUGUUGUUGUUGCGUUUUUUCAGGCAAUUCGUGCGUGUUGCACCUUUGGGUUUAUUAUAUCUUCAGGACGUGAUAUUUUCGCCUUUUCCGAGAGGCUGAUUAAAAAAGCGUUAAAUCGUCGUAAAGCGCGAAUUCUCUUUUCUUUUUUGUUCGUAACAACCUUGAGCAGCGAGUACCUAUAUAGGCACCUAUCGGGUAUUGCAUAAUUGAUUAUGCUUGAGGUUUAAUUAUAUCUAUUUAUUGUCAAGUUUUUUAUUUUAAAACUAAUAUUUAGAUUGCGGUGUUCGAGCAGAUGCACGAAAUAGAGAACUAGUAUAAAAACAGCUCAAGGAAAGCUUGCAUAAGUAUCGGCAAUGUCUCUGUCACGUCCUUAAAUAAGGAUAUAAAAGACAGAUGUAAAUUAGCUAUAUACAUCACUAUACGCACCAGGAAAAGAAGAUUAAUGAUCCACGAUUAUUAAGAAACUUGGAAUUAAUUUAAGCAAGGAAAAUCUGCGUUUCCAUAAUAAUGUCGUUGUGGGAAUUGAGUCGUUACACCGCGCCUGCCGAUUAUAACAUCGUUAUAUGCACUAUCCGGAGGUGUGCACACCAGCGUUAUACUAUAACAAUUUGCACACCGACGUCGCACUACAGAAAAUCGAUCCGCGCAUGUAUAUAAUGGCUUAUUCAUCGCACGUUUCGACUUGCCGAGUUAUUAGAGAGCCCUCACGAGUAAUCUAAAAAUAUAUGCGAAUCGAAAAUGCAAAUCCUCUCUAUUUCAUGUGCAUCCGAGACUCUGUUAGUUCUGGAAUCUGAGUCGGCUAACAGACAAUGAGAUAGUCUCGUUGUAAAAAAGCUCUCAUUGUUAUAGACAUUAUAUUGACAGAGGGCGCGGCGGUUGUCACACAGGAUGUCUAUUGAAGCUUAUGUAAUUUUGCUCUGUUUUUAAUACCCUGACGUAUAGCGGCCGCGAGUGUGUAUACUCGUGUAAGAGUUUAAUUUUAUCGCAAGCACAUGUUGCACUACAUUCUUCGAGAAUCGGUCGCGUAAAUCUUGACGCCUUUUGACAGUCAUUGUGUAAUAUGCGAUUAUAAACAUGAACGGAUGUCGGACGCUUAUUUCUAGGUCCUUUUUUGAGGAUCACCUAAUGGAUCAAUAUUUUUAUAAUAUACACGAUAUUAUUAUGAUUAAUCAAUGUACAGAAGUAAAAAAGAGGCUUUCAGUAUUGCCAUUAUGAAUUGGAUGCUUAUAACCAAAUUAUUAAUGAUCCUGUAGAGGUGAUCGUUCGACAUUAGUACCUUUCGAGAAUAUAGUUUAUGGCUAUCAAUAAACGCGUUCUAUCGAUCCAUUCGAAUACUCAUAUACCGAAAAAUGCCAUCCAUGCAUAUGUACAAUCAGCUAUCAAUAUCGGCGCGGACUUUGAAAACACCGAUAAAACAAUUAUUGCACAUAUAAUUACACAUACAUACGACAGAGGAAGAUGGAUUAAAGUGCCUACGUAGACGUAAUCAGGUAGUGGAAUUGUAUAAUAAAAAGCUGGAUGUAUACACGCGCGGCAAAGAUCGACACGUAGAAUACAAUCGGCCGCCGCAUCGAUUGACCCGACUGAUAUAGCCGCGUAUAAAGCAGCGUGCAAAGCACGUAAAUAUUUUACAGGAAAGUCAAGCAGUUUCCAGGCUUGCGGGGAUGGCCGAUGACGUCGCGCCUUUUCUCUCAUCUUUGAUACAGAUAGUCACGUAGAGUUCGAUAAGGUAUCGCACGAGUAUAUGUACAUCAUAGUGUCUUAUAUAUCGGUAUCGCAUACCGAGACGUUUUCGCGCGUAGAAUUCGGUCAGUGACUCGACGUUCGCUUAUUUCGCGGCGGUGCGUUACGGUAACUUUUGCAAGCUCACACUUGACUUUUCUUAUGUCUUCUAGUUGCGUAGUCAUCUCAUUGUAUUGAUUUAGUGACAUUCGAGCUCGCGCUUGAUUGUUUGGUGCAGUUUUUUUUUCCAACUUCGUUAAAACUUAGUUCAAACACAUGCUCAAGGGCAAAUAAAUAGUUAAUUGAAAAAUCUAUACAGGAGUAUAUGUAUGCGCACAUAAUAUACAAGUAUAAUUUUGACGCACAUUCAUGGAACUAGUGAGCUGAUACAUAAAUCGUGCCUGUGUAUAAAACGUGUAGCGAAGGUGAGAGAACAUAUUUUUCAAUUGUUUGUCGAAAGCUCUCGUUUCCUCUUAUUCCUAUGACUUUUCAAUAAAAUUUCAUUCUAGAAAGUACGCUAAAUAUACGAUUGCACGCGUUCGAUAUGACUAUAGAAACAAACAAAAUCGCUGUCUCGGCGCUGUGUCGCUUCAUUUAUCUAUAAUAUUUAUCGAAGUGCGCUCGCUAUAAUCACAAAGCGGAUAAAUCCUUGGUUUUAUUUGUUUAUACUUAUUAAUCGGUGCCUCACGUGGCACAAAAAGCCGUAGCUACUCGAUACGUCUAUACUUAUAAUUUUAAUCUACGACAAUUAGUAUAUUAUAUAGCGAAAAGCGUAGAUCAUCGUAUCGCAUACGUCGAAAUCCAUUUCAUAAUGAUGAAUCACGUGCAUGACACUUAUGUUAUAGUUUUUCGAUUACGUCAAACGUGAACCGCCUGCUUUCAUUCCAUAACUUAUCACAUAUAAACGGUGAAAAGCAACAUCGACAAGCGAACUUGGAACAAAAAUGGAAUAUCUUUUUGAGAGAACAAAUUAUAUUCAAGAAAUCUGUUCGGUUAUACCUGUGACGCAAAUCGAAGAUGACUACGAGUUUACUCAAAUGACAAGUAGAAAUGUACGUGCACGGCAAGACGAGCAAUUUCUAUUUUUAAUUCGCAACAAAAUUCAUUAGAUUGAAUUGACUAGCUCGAACGAUGCGUUGCACCUGUAAGUGCGCCAUUAUAGUGACGCGUCGCAGAUUUACAAAUACAAGUUCGAAUAUAUCUACAUUCGAUUGUAUCUUUUGCGUAUAGUUUUCCGUACAUCAUCAUGCGCGUACUCGAACGCACACGACGAGCAUAAUCAUAGCUUCAUUGUAUUAACAAUAAUUGAGCGCCGCACAAUCGACUGAUGUAUUCUUAGAAAAUCAAAAUAUUGGCGAGGAAAAAAAAACCACUAUCGCCAGCUCUAAGAAAAUUCGCAACAAUAGUGUAGUAGCAGUCGCGAUCUACGCAUGUAAUUCUAAAAAAAGCGCGCGACGGAAACGAUUGCCGGGUUCUUUGAUCGACGACAACUGCAUUAUGGAUUCGUUCGCUUAAUCUUACAAAGUUUAAGUGCCAAGGUUGCCGACGCCAGUCGUCGACUCUCUCACCGACAAUCUAUAAUGUAUGCAGACAAUCUAUGAUGUAUUAUACAAUGCUUUUUUGCGUGCCACGACCGAUUAUGAUCGCACAUGUGGCUUUUUCUUCUAUGUUGUGUACGUGUGUAUAUCUUUAUCUGGCCAAGGCCAAACGGUUUUCUCAUCGAUUCCACGCGAAAAUUUCGUCUAGCCUCGCAUCGACUUUUCGGCUAUGAUAAGUUAACUCGUCGUAGAACUCUGUAUACGUACACGUUGUCUCACAAUGGUCUAUAGACUGUCCAUAAAUGGUUUAGCAUAUAAAUAAAAGGUGCUUAGAGAAAA